rnacentral:rRNA from 1 species
GAUUCCCUUAGUAGCGGCGAGCGAACAGGGAGAAGCCCAGCACUGAAGCCCGUGGUCGGAAACGGCUACUGGGCAAUGUAGUGUUUGGGAGAGCCCGUUUAACCCGAGUAUUGUUAGCGUGUCCAAGUCCUUCUUGAAGGGGGCCACUCGCCCAUAGUGGGUGCCAGGCCCGUAGUGACCGUUAGUAUGUUCGGGUGGGUUUCUCCUUAGAGUCGGGUUGCUUGAGAGUGCAGCUCUAAGUGGGUGGUAAACUCCAUCUAAGGCUAAAUAUUACCACGAGACCGAUAGCGAACAAGUACCGUGAGGGAAAGUUGAAAAGACUUUGAAGAGAGAGUUCAAGAGUACGUGAAACCGUUCAGGGGUAAACCUGAGAAACCCGAAAGGUCGAACGGGGAGAUUCAAUUGCUUUACCGGUGGUGAUCAAUGGUGCAGUAUUUGGGACGCAUAUGGUAAUGCAGUUUCGGCUGUAUUAUUUUAUACGCUCUGCUGUCUGUUGUUUAUUCAUUGUCGGAAGCAUGCACUUCUCCCCUUGUAGGACGUCGCGACCCGUUGAGCACAUAAGCCAUCUACGGCCCGUGGUGGAGCCCGUUUAUAAUUUAUUAUAUGCGGACCCAUGGUGUCCUGAUGGCUGCCCGACGGUAUUAGCACAGGUAUUGGGUCGCUGUCGCUUCGCGCGGCGAGCGUUACGGUUGUAUGGCAAGUCAUUGUAUGUUUUUAAAUGUGGAAAUCGGACUUUGUGCCGGUUCUGCGCAUGCAGUACUGUUGGCUGUAGAACCCUCUGACCGUCCCCGUUACCAGUCGGCGACGCUUCAGUUUUGGGUAAUCUCAGGACCCGUCUUGAAACACGGACCAAGGAGUCUAGCAUGUGCGCGAGUCAUUGGGAUAAAUCUCCUAAAGGCGCAAUGAAAGUAAAUGUUUACCUUGUGUGAACAGAGGGAAGAUGGGUGGCGCUUUGACGCUGCCCCGCACUCCCGGGGCGUCGCGCACUCAUUGCGAGGUGCGGCGCACCAAGAGCGUACACGCUGGGA